UACCAGAUAGUAAGUGGUGUUCUGGCUGG
rnacentral:piRNA from 1 species